rnacentral:rRNA from 1 species
GAGCACGUAGGGGGGUUUGUAAGUCAGAUGUGAAAGCCUUCUGUUCAACGGGAGAAUUGCAUCUGAAACUGCUAAUCUUGAGUAUAGGAGGGGAGAAUGGAACUUCUGGUGGAGCGGUGAAAUGCGUAGAUAUCAGAAGGAACGCCGGCGGCGAAAGCGAUUCUCUGGCCUAUUACUGACCCUCAGUGUGCGAAAGCUAGGGGAGCAAACGGGAUUAGAUACCCCGUAGCAGCAAU